CGAAGAAGGACGUAGCAGGCUGCGAAAAGCCUCGGGGAGCCGCGAGCGGGCUUUGAUCCGGGGAUAUCCGAAUGGGGAAACCGCUGAGCACAAAGAGCUCAGAGCAUACGAUGAAUUCAUAGUCGUAUGCGGGCAACCUGGCGAAGUGAAACAUCUCAGUAGCUAGAGGAAAAGAAAUCAAUCGAGAUUCCCCGAGUAGUGGCGAACGAAAGGGGAACAGCCCAAACUUGCGUGACGUGAUAGGUGUCAGCCGUUGUCGCGCGGGGGUUGUAGGACUGCAUGUUGGACUCUGACAGGUCCGAGCAGAGUAAGAAAAUCAUUGCUUAGUCGAAGCGGCCUGGGAAGGCCUGUCAAAGAGUGUGAUAGCCACGUAGACGAAAAGCGAUGGUCUCUGUUGUGUAGUUCCUGAGUACGGCCGGGCACGUGGAACCCGGUCGGAAGCUGGGUGGACCAUCAUCCAAGGCUAAAUAUGACCUACCGACCGAUAGCGAUCAGUACC
rnacentral:rRNA from 1 species